rnacentral:rRNA from 1 species
UAGCUAGUUGGUAGGGUAAGGGCCUACCAAGGCGACGAUCGGUAGCUGGUCUGAGAGGAUGGCCAGCCACACUGGAACUGAGACACGGUCCAGACUCCUACGGGAGGCAGCAGUGGGGAAUAUUGGACAAUGGAGGCAACCCUGAUCCAGCAAUGCCGCGUGUGUGAAGAAGGCCUGAGGGUUGUAAAGCACUUUCAGUAGGGAGGAGGGUUGAUUGGUUAAGAGCUGAUUGACUGGACGUUACCUACAGAAGAAGCACCGGCUAACUCCGUGCCAGCAGCCGCGGUAAUACGGAGGGUGCGAGCGUUAAUCGGAAUUACUGGGCGUAAAGCGUGCGUAGGUGGUUGAAUAAGUUAUCUGUGAAAUCCCUGGGCUUAACCUGGGCAGGUCAGAUGAUACUGUUUGACUCGAGUAUGGGAGAGGGUAGUGGAAUUUCCGGUGUAGCGGUGAAAUGCGUAGAGAUCGGAAGGAACACCAGUGGCGAAGGCGGCUACCUGGCCUAAUACUGACACUGAGGCACGAAAGCGUGGGGAGCAAACAGGAUUAGAUACCCUGGUAGUCCACGCUGUAAACGAUGUCAACUAGCUGUUGGUUAUAUGAAAAUAAUUAGUGGCGC